rnacentral:rRNA from 1 species
AUUGAACGCUGGCGGCAUGCCUUACACAUGCAAGUCGAACGGUAACAGGUUAAGCUGACGAGUGGCGCACGGGCGAGUAAUACAUCGGAACGUGCCCAGUAGUGGGGGAUAGACCGGCGAAAGCCGGAUUAAUACCGCAUCCGACACAAGGGAGAAUGGGGGGGAUCGCAAGACAUUUCGCUAUUGGAGCGGUCGAUGUCAGAUUAGCUAGUUGGUGGGGUAAAAGCUCACCAAGGCGACGAUCUGUAGCUGAUCUGAGAGGACGACCAGCCACACUGGGACUGAGACACGGCCCAGACUCCUACGGGAGGCAGCAGUGGGGAAUUUUGGACAAUGGGCGCAAGCCUGAUCCAGCCAUGCCGCGUGCGUGAAGAAGGCCUUCGGGUUGUAAACCGCUUUUGUCAGGGAAGAAAUCCUUUGGGUUAAUACCUCGGGGGGAUGACGGUACCUGAAGAAUAAGCACCGGCAAACUACGU